CAGGAGAUUAGGAAGAGCAGCUGGCUAGCCUGUGACCUCCUGAAGCUAUGCACCUAGAAAGGCCCAGUGCUGCAAAGGUGUCCCAUAAUCAUUAAAUUAUGAAAAUGACUUGCCAAAGUCACCAGGACACUUCCCUCUGAUACAAGUUUAACCUCUGCAAGCCAUGGGCCUGAAAACCCCAGCCCAGAGACCCAGCUGUGAAAUACUCUCAGUAACACAGAUGUCUGCCAGCAAAUUAUGGCUUGAGACAGCUCGGAGGCUUGUGCAGCAGGAGACGCUGCUCUUAAGAUGCCUUGCCAGCUACAGUACAUGUUUUGCAAUGGCUGUUCAACCACAAUGCAGACGGGGUGCAGGAGACGCAGCUCCCAGCUCCCACCAAAAUGGGAUUUAUUUUAGAUAUAUUUAAUACAGUAUGAUUUCUCAUUGCAACUGCCACUGCAGAGAGAGGAGAAAGGGUAAGAGAGCUGGAGUGAGAAGGGAAAGGCUAGUCUCAAAGCAGUUACAGGCGGCCUGGACCAGUAAUGCAGUACACAUUGCUGGAUCAGUGGUUGUCCUAAUGCUGUGGGGAAACUUGGCAGCUCUGCUACCACUGUGGGCUGUGGAGACAAAGCCAGUGUGGAAAUUUCACACACAAAAAAAAGAAAGAAAAAGCAGAAAGAAAAAAUAAAGGGCCAAAUGCAUCAUGACAGACCCAAAGACAAUAAC